AUACUUACAUGGCUGGGGAGAUACCAUGAUCACGAAGGUGGUUUUCCAGGGCGAGGCUUAUCCACUGCACUCUGAAUGUGCCGACCCCUGCGAUUUCCCCAGAUCAACUGCAUAAUUUGUGGUAGUAGGGGACUGUGUUCACGCUUUCCCCAG
rnacentral:snRNA from 1 species